rnacentral:rRNA from 1 species
AACCUCCGCAAUGUACGAAAGUGCGACGGGGGGAUCCCAAGUGUUAUGCUUUUUUUGUAUAACUUUUCAUUAGUGUAAAAAGCUUUUAGAAUAAGAGCUGGGCAAGACCGGUGCCAGCCGCCGCGGUAACACCGGCAGCCCGAGUGGUAGCUUUUUUUAUUGGGCCUAAAGCGUUCGUAGCCGGUUUGAUAAGUCUUUGGUGAAAGCUUGUAGCUUAACUAUAAGAAUUGCUGGAGAUACUAUCAGACUUGAAGUCGGGAGAGGUUAGAGGUACUACCGGGGUAGGGGUGAAAUCCUAUAAUCCUGGGAGGACCACCUGUGGCGAAGGCGUCUAACUGGAACGAUCUUGACGGUGAGUAACGAAAGCCAGGGGCGCGAACCGGAUUAGAUACCCGGGUAGUCCUGGCCGUAAACGAUGUGGACUUGGUGUUGGAAUGGCUUUGAGUUGUUCCGGUGCCGAAGGGAAGCUGUUAAGUCCACCGCCUGGGAAGUACGGUCGCAAGACUAAAACUUAAAGGAAGU